rnacentral:RNase_P_RNA from 2 species
AGAGUUAGUCGGGUAGUCGCUAUAUCUUGAAAAUCAGAUAUGGAGGAAAGUCCGGGCUUCACAGGACAAGGUGCCAGGUAACGCCUGGGGGGCGUGAGCCUAUGGAAAGUGCCACAGAAAAUAUACCGCCUAAGUCCAUUAAGGACCGGUAAGGGUGAAAUGGUGCGGUUGGUGAGUUAUCGGCUUAAUGUAAGAGCGCACCGCAUUGAUGGUAACAUCAAUGGCAGGGUAAACCCCACCUGAAGCAAGACAAAUAGGGGAAUUAUAAUGUGGUCCGCAUUGUUCCCGGGUAAGUUGCUAGAGGUGUUUGGUGACAAGCAUCCCAGAUGAAUGACUGCCAUACGGAUGAUUUUUCAAGCCGGCUUUUGAU